UUGGAAUAUUAUUGGUUAUAUCUCGACUUUUUUCAUAGGUAAAAAGAAGGAACAAGUCAGGGAUGGCAAGCGUGAAAGAUAUGCGCCGGUUCUGCAGGAUGGCCCGCCGCUGGGUGAUUUUUGCGCCUUUUGGGUUUUCGCAGAUGAUCUUAAUGAGAUCAAUUAAUCAACACAUAUUACAUGUGCCCAUGGCCAUUGGAAGUAUCAUGUGAAGAACGAAAAGACCCUUCUUUUGGUGGGGAAUCAACUCUUCGGGUUCAUGUUCUUCUUUUCUUUGUGUUUCUUAAAUUUUAUAAUCAUUUAUUCGUGUUUUAAUUAGUGUACUAAAAAUUAGAUUAGGAGUUUUAAUUUUCUUCUGUUUUUUUUUUUUUUUGUUUUUUUAAUUCCAUCUAACAUUGAGCACUUCACAUAUUGUUUCGAUAAUCGCUUACCCCAACAGGAAAAACCGCUUCCGUCCAGCAGGUAAAACUGGUAUAUAUAUUACAUCUUUAUUUCCUA